rnacentral:rRNA from 1 species
UACAGAGGUCUCGGGCGUUGUUCGGAUUCAUUGGGCGUAAAGGGUGCGUAGGUGGCGCUGUAAGUCAGGUGUGAAAUUUCGGAGCUUAACUCCGAAACUGCAUUUGAUACUGCGGUGCUUGAGGACUGGAGAGGAGACUGGAAUUUACGGUGUAGCAGUGAAAUGCGUAGAGAUCGUAAGGAAGACCAGUGGCGAAGGCGGGUCUCUGGACAGUUCCUGACACUGAGGCACGAAGGCCAGGGGAGCAAACGGG